rnacentral:tRNA from 1 species
GCGAAGGUGGUGAAAUCGGUAUACACAACGGACUUAAAAUCCGUCGACCCUAAUAAGGUCUUGGGGGUUCAAGUCCCCCUCUUCGCA